rnacentral:rRNA from 1 species
CAGUAGCCGCGGUAAAACGAAGGGUGCAAGCGUUACUCGGAAUUACUGGGCGUAAAGGGUGCGUAGGUGGUUUUUUAAGUCCGUUGUGAAAUCCCUGGGCUCAACCUGGGGAUGGCAGUGGGUACUGGAAAGCUAGAGUGCGGUAGAGGGUAGUGGAAUUCCCGGUGUAGCAGUGAAAUGCGUAGAGAUCGGGAGGAACACCAGUGGCGAAGGCGGCUACCUGGACCAGCACUGACACUGAAGCACGAAAGCGUGGGGAGCAAACAGGAUUAGAUACCCCUGUAGUCCCUGUCUCUUAUAA